GUAGCUGUAUAAUGUGUGUUAGUGUAAAGUGUGUGAGUUAUAUUACUGUGUAAUGUGUGUUAGUGUAGAGAAAGGUUUGUGAGUUAUAUUACUGUGUAAAGGUGAACUAGCUGUGUAAAGUGUAUUAGUGUAAUGUAAAGUGUGUGAGUUAUAUUACUGUGUAAAGGGUAUUAGUGUAGAGUAAAGGGUGUGAGUUAUAUUACUGUGUAAAGGGUAUUAGUGUAGAGUAAAGGGUGUGAGUUAUAUUACUGUGUAAAGGUAAUGUAGCUGUGUAAAGUGUAUUAGUGUAGAGUAAAGUGUAUGAGUUAUAUUACUGUGUAAAGGGUAUUAGUGUAGAGUAAAGUGUGUGAGUUAUAUUACUGUGUAAAGGGUAUUAAUGUAGAGUAAAGUGUGUGAGCUAUAUUACUGUGUAAAAUGUAUUAAUGUAGAGUAAAGGGUAUUAGUGUAGGGUAAAGUGUGUGAGUUAUAUUACUGUGUAAAGGGUAUUAGUGUAGAGUAAAGUGGGUGAGUUAUAUUACUGUG